ACACCCGUUUGAGUGUCGUGAAACCUCAACCUCCCUGGUUUCUUUCCGAGACCAAAGGAGGCUUGGACCUUGGAGGCCUUUGCUGGUGUCUCUGCCAGCUCCUCUCAAAUGAAUUAGUGGGGUCCUCUUUGCCGAUCCUUGACAUGUGAUAAGAUGCUUCCGUGUCUCGGUUUCUGGCUCUGUUGCUUUUGGGACCCACUUCUAACCGUCUAGACCCUCACGUCGAGACAACGUUCAAGCACGUCUCCCUUGUCGGGAAACGUUCUUGACCCCACGAACCCUUGGCCUCAAAUCGGGUGAGACUACCCGCUGAACUUAAGCAUAUCAAUAAGCGGAGG
rnacentral:rRNA from 1 species